GACGAACGCUAGCUACAGGCCUAACGCAUGCAAGUCGGAGGGGCAGCGGGAAGGAAGCUUGCUUUCUUCGCCGGCGACCGGCGCACGGGUGCGUAACGCGUAUCGAACCUACCCUUUACUCGGGAACAGCCUUGCGAAAGCAAGAUUAAUGCCCGAUGUUCCGCGUUUGCUGCAUGGCAAAUUCGGCAAAGAUUUAUUGGUAAAGGAUGGCGAUGCGUCCCAUUAGUUAGUUGGCGGGGUAACGCCCACAAGACGACGAUGGGGUAGGGGUUCUGAGAGGAAGGUCCCCCANAUUGGAACUGAGACACGGUCCAAACUCC
rnacentral:rRNA from 1 species